rnacentral:rRNA from 1 species
CCUACGGGGGGCAGCCGUGGGGAAUAUUGGGCCAUGGGCGCAAGCCUGACCCAGCAACGCCGCGUGAAGGAAGAAGGCUUUCGGGUUGUAAACUUCUUUUGUCAGGGACGAAGCAAGUGACGGUACAUGACGAAUAAGCCACGGCUAACUACGUGCCAGCAGCCGCGGUAAUACGUAGGUGGCAAGCGUUAUCCGGAGUUAUUGGGUGUAAAGGGCGUGUAGGCGGGAAUGCAAGUCAGAUGUGAAAACUAUGGGCUCAACCCAUAGCCUGCAUUUGAAACUGUAUUUCUUGAGUGCUGGAGAGGCAAGCGGAAUUCCGGGUGUAGCGGUGAAAUGCGUAGAUAUACGGAGGAACACCAGUGGCGAAGGCGGAUUGCUGGACAGUAACUGACGCUGAGGCGCGAAAGCGUGGGGAGCAAACAGGAUUAGAUACCCCAGUAGUC